AACGCUGGCGGCGUGCCUAAUACAUGCAAGGUCGAACGGUCUUUCUAUGGAAGCUUGCUUCCACUGAGAAGAUAGUGGCGAACGGGUGAGUAACACGUGGGGUAACCUGCCCAUAAGAGGGGGGAUAACAUCCGGAAACGGGUGCUAAUACCGCAUAGUUUUCUUGAUCGCAUGAUCGGGAAAGGAAAGACGGCCUUUGUGCUGUCGCUUAUGGAUGGACCCGCGGCGUAUUAGUUAGUUGGUGAGGUAACGGCUCACCAAGACGAUGAUACGUAGCCGACCUGAGAGGGUGAUCGGCCACAUUGGGACUGAGACGCGGCCCAAACUCCUACGGGAGGCAGCAGUAGGGAAUCUUCCGCAAUGGACGAAAGUCUGACGGAGCAACGCCGCGUGAGUGAAGAAAGGUUUUCGGAUCGUAAAACUCUGUUGUCAGAGAAGAACAAGUUGGAGAGUAACUGCUCCAGCCUUGACGGUAUCUGACCAGAAAGCCACGGCUAACUACGUGCCAGCCGCCGC
rnacentral:rRNA from 1 species